rnacentral:tRNA from 1 species
GGCCCCAUGGUCAAGCGGUUAAGACACCGCCCUUUCACGGCGGUAACUCGAGUUCAAUUCUCGAUGGGGUCACCA